rnacentral:rRNA from 1 species
AUUGAACGCUGGCGGCAGGCCUAACACAUGCAAGUCGAACGGUAACAGAGAGUAGCUUGCUACUUUGCUGACGAGUGGCGGACGGGUGAGUAAUGUCUGGGGAUCUGCCUGAUGGAGGGGGAUAACUACUGGAAACGGUAGCUAAUACCGCAUAAUGUCGCAAGACCAAAGCGGGGGACUUUCGGGCCUCGCACCAUCAGAUGAACCCAGAUGGGAUUAGCUAGUAGGUAGGGUAAUGGCUUACCUAGGCGACGAUCCCUAGCUGGUCUGAGAGGAUGACCAGCCACACUGGAACUGAGACACGGUCCAGACUCCUACGGGAGGCAGCAGUGGGGAAUAUUGCACAAUGGGCGCAAGCCUGAUGCAGCCAUGCCGCGUGUAUGAAGAAGGCCUUCGGGUUGUAAAGUACUUUCAGUCAGGAGGAAGGGUGUGAAAUUAAUACUUUCAUGCAUUGACGUUACUGACAGAAGAAGCACCGGCUAACUCCGUGCCAGCAGCCGCGGUAAUACGGAGGGUGCAAGCGUUAAUCGGAAUUACUGGGCGUAAAGCGCACGCAGGCGGUUUGUUAAAUCAGAUGUGAAAUCCCCGGGCUCAACCUGGGAACUGCAUU